GACGAACGCUGGCGGCGUGCCUAAUACAUGCAAGUCGAACGCUUCUUUCCUCCCGAGUGCUUGCACUCAAUUGGAAAGAGGAGUGGCGGACGGGUGAGUAACACGUGGGUAACCUACCCAUCAGAGGGGGAUAACACUUGGAAACAGGUGCUAAUACCUCAUAACAGUUUAUGCCGCAUGGCAUAAGAGUGAAAGGCGCUUUCGGGUGUCGCUGAUGGAUGGACCCGCGGUGCAUUAGCUAGUUGGUGAGGUAACGGCUCACCAAGGCCACGAUGCAUAGCCGACAUGAGAGGGUGAUCGGCCACACUGGGACUGAGACACGGCCCAGACUCCUACGGGAGGCAGCAGUAGGGACUCUUCGGCAAUGGACGAAAGUCUGACCGAGCAACGCCGCGUGAGUGAAGAAGGUUUUCGGAUCGUAAAACUCUGUUGUUAGAGAAGAACAAGGACGUUAGUAACUGAACGUCCCCUGACGGUAUCUAACCAGAAAGCCACGGCUAACUACGUG
rnacentral:rRNA from 1 species